GUUGUGUGCCGCCCGCCUAAAAACGGGCGUGCCUCAACACACCGUGUCUACCUACUAUCGUUGCUUUGGCGGGUCGUCUCACGACCAUGGGCUCCAGCUCGUGCGUGCCCGCCAGAGGACCAAACUCUGAAUUUUAGUGAUGUCUGAGUACUAUAUAAUAGUUAAAACUUUCAACAACGGAUCUCUUGGUUCUGGCAUCGAUGAAGAACGCAGCGAAAUGCGAUAAGUAAUGUGAAUUGCAGAAUUCAGUGAAUCAUCGAAUCUUUGAACGCACAUUGCGCCCCGUGGUAUUCCGCGGGGCAUGCCUGUUCGAGCGUCAUUUAAACCAGUCAUGCCUCGCAUGGUGUUGGGGCACGCGGUUUCGCGGCCCUCAAAAUCAGUGGCAUCGCCGCAAGGUACUCAGCGUAGUAAUUACUAAGAGCUGAUUGUUAUCGCGCGGACGGUCGCCAGCAACCCCCCAUUUUUUACAGGUUGACCUCGGAUCAGGUAGGGAUACCCGCUGAACUUAAGCAUAUCAAUAAGCGGAGGAAAAGAAACCAACAGGGAUUACCUCAGUAACGGCGAGUGAAGCGGUAACAGCUCAAAUUUGAAAGCUCCUACCAAGGCGCAUUGUAAUUUGUAGAAGAUGCUUUGGGUGUCGGCCCGGUCUAAGUUCCUUGGAACAGGACGUCAUAGAGGGUGAGAAUCCCGUAUGUGAUCGGUGCCGUUGUCCGUGUAAAGCUCUUUCGACGAGUCGAGUUGUUUGGGAAUGCAGCUCAAAAUGGGUGGUAUAUUUCAUCU
rnacentral:rRNA from 1 species